AUUGAACGCUGGCGGCAGGCCUAACACAUGCAAGUCGAACGAGUGGCGGACGGGUGAGUAAUGUCUGGGAAACUGCCUGAUGGAGGGGGAUAAUUCCUGGAAACGGAUGUUAAUCCCCCUAACCAUCAGAUGUGCCCAGAUGGGAUUAGCUUGUUGGGGGGGUAACGGCUCACCAAGGCGACGAUCCCUAGCUGGUCUGAGAGGAUGACCAGCCACACUGGAACUGAGACACGGUCCAGACGCCUACGGGAGGCAGCAGUGGGGAAUAUUGCACAAUGGGCGCAAGCCUGAUGCAGCCAUGCCGCGUGUAUGAAGAAGGCCUUCGGGUUGUAAAGUACUUUCAGCGGGGAGGCGUUACCCGCAGAAGAAGCACCGGCUAACUCCGUGCCAGCCGCCGCGGUAAUAC
rnacentral:rRNA from 1 species